UAGGGGAAGGCUGGGCAAAGUGAAUACCCCGGGCAAAGCGAAUACUCCCCACUACUCCUAAAAUAUUAGAUGUUAAUUCAACACACCACUACUGUUACGUCGGGCCAUCUUGGUUUAAUACGCGGCAAACAUCGAACCGAGGGGCCGUGUCGUGUCCCGUCCGCGGAGUGGAGAUUUGUGUUUUCGUAAAUAAAAGAUUGAUUUUACGCGAUGAUGAAUAAAUAUAAAAAAAACUGUUUUCACCGAAGAUUAGGAAAAUAUAUAUAAAAGAAGACGGUAAACUAAUUGAAAAUUGGAUUCGAUGUGACAUUUGUCAACAAUGGUGUCACGAAAAUUGUUCUGCUUUUGAUGGCACUUAAGGGUAUACCUGUGACAAUUGCCAAUCUUAAUUUUAUAAUUUUAUGGUCAAUAAAAGUUAUCGUUUCUG